CUUCCUGGAGGUGCUGUCCUCUUCAGACAACACAGUCCCAGAAAGAGAUGCUCUUGUGGCUGACGUCAUCAACACUGCUGCAGAGGACAUUGCAGUCAAUAGGAAUGCUGUUGAUCCCCUGCCUGGCAAUCUCUCCUCCCCUGAAUCAGUCUUGGAUGCAACACCAACAGGAUUUCUGAACCUGGGCUUCUCUGAAGAAGAUUCAUCCCAGAAGCCAGACAUUCCCAGUGACCAGCCCCGGGUGGCACCUACAACAUCUGGAUCCAGGCCAUUCAGGGUCUGGAAACUGGUGAGGAAGCGAAUUUCCCAUGCACUGAGAGCACUGUGCCGCUGCUGCUGCUGCUGCUGCUGCUGCCUGCCCACCCCAAGUGUGGAAAAUGAAAUGGUCCAAUAGAAUUCUAGCCCUGGUGAGGAGCCACGGAAGGGACCCAAGACAGACCGCCAGAGUGCCAGCUCCCUCCAACACAUGGCAACAGGCUCCUGCAUCGAUCCUCCAGCUAUUGGGUCUAAGCUGCCACUUUAUAACUCCUCCAGCUUACUUAGCCCCAGCACUAUUGUUGGAUGAAGAGGUGGUCGGAAGACAAUGUACCCAGUGACUCUUUACCUUCCCAGCUUUGGUUGUGCUUGUAGGACCACUCACACUGCAUGGAAAACAGCAGCCUCUACCACCAGGAAAUGACUUCAUACCUGCUCAUCAUCUUGGUCACUUUAACCCUCCAAUUUCUUCUCUGGCUGCCUUUUUGAAAGAACAGCAAGACCUGUAGCUGGGGUGCAGCAGGAGAAAGAUGCAGGACUAUCAGUCAGUCCGGUCCUCCUCAGUGCUGAGCUCCUUUAUCCAGGCUUCCCAUGUUGCCUCCCACCUCCUGAUUCAGAAUCUUGCAUCAUUUACCCAUGUCAUGGAUAGAUUUGUACCUGAUAUUUGAUCUACGUUACUAUUGUUCUGCUCCAGCAUGGGUAGGAGCUCUAAUGACAGCCUCUGGUGCAGAGUGAAGCAAUGGUCAGUGUAGGGUCUGAAGUGGAUUCCAGGACACCUUCCAGGUAGGAAGCAACUCACUGACUUGACAAGAGGAAAUGAACUCAACAGAGACUCCAGGAUACUAGUCUGUGUGAAUCAUGCACCUGAAGGGUCAGGGAUUGAACUGAAGGUUCUGUCAUCCAGGAUGGACUACAAACAGCAGCAAAGUCCAAAUCUAACCUUCAGGAUAGAAGUCUAUGUCCACCAGUAAAGAGAUACCUGGAGAUCCCCACUGCAGUCCAGGCACAAAUCCAAUGACUUCAACCUGACCAAUCAGGAGAGUUCAGAUUGGCUACUUGGUCUGAUGGAUUGAGUUCUUUCCAUUUGACACAUAAGAUCACAGCUGAUGACUCAAGAGAUCGGCCUGACUCUGCCUCUCAAGUGGGAAUACAGUGAUGAGCUCUAUACAUCAGGAGACACAGGGUGGUGAUUUCGAGGUGUGGAUUGAGACAGCAGAAGUAGGAGCUCUGCAGGAAGUCCAGAUGGCAGUGUGCCCACUUCCCCAGCAUGAAGGGUCUGUGUCCAGCACAGGACGAGGAAAGUGACAGGAAGCUGGAGGAAAAUGGGGACCACAUCGGAUGGGAUGCUGGGACUUUGCUCCACUUUGGAUAUCUGCAGGUUCUGCUGGAUAUGUUCAGACAAACCUCAUCUUUACCAUAUGUGCAUCCUGUCUCAUCUAGGCAAG